AAAACUUUAUGUUAAACAAACAAGUAGCCUUCAAAGCUGCCAAUAAAAGUCCAAUCUUUUAAGUUUUA
rnacentral:tRNA from 1 species